rnacentral:rRNA from 1 species
UGGGGAAUAUUGGGCAAUGGGCGCAAGCCUGACCCAGCAACGCCGCGUGAAGGAAGAAGGCUUUCGGGUUGUAAACUUCUUUUCUUGGGGACGAAGAAAGUGACGGUACCCAAGGAAUAAGCCACGGCUAACUACGUGCCAGCAGCCGCGGUAAUACGUAGGUGGCAAGCGUUAUCCGGAUUUAUUGGGUGUAAAGGGCGUGUAGGCGGGAAUGCAAGUCAGAUGUGAAAACUAUGGGCUCAACCCAUAGCCUGCAUUUGAAACUGUAUUUUCUUGAGUGCUGGAGAGGCAAUCGGGAAUUCCGUGUGUAGCGGUGAAAUGCGUAGAUAUACGGAGGAACACCAGUGGCGAAGGCGGAUUGCUGGACAGUAACUGACGCUGAGGCGCGAAAGCGUGGGGAGCAAACAGGAUUAGAUACCC